rnacentral:rRNA from 1 species
UACAGAGGUCUCAAGCGUUGUUCGGAUUCAUUGGGCGUAAAGGGUUCGUAGGCGGUGCGGUAAGUCGGGUGUGAAAUCUUGGAGCUUAACUCCGAAACUGCAUUCGAUACUGCCGUGCUUGAGGACUGGAGAGGAGACUGGAAUUCAUGGUGUAGCAGUGAAAUGCGUAGAGAUCAUGAGGAAGACCAGUGGCGAAGGCGGGUCUCUGGACAGUUCCUGACACUGAGGAACGAAGGCGAGGGGAGCAAACGGG